rnacentral:rRNA from 1 species
UACGUAGGGCGCAAGCGUUGUCCGGAAUUAUUGGGCGUAAAGAGCUCGUAGGCGGCCUGUUACGUCUGCUGUGAAAUCCCGGGGCUUAACCCCGGGCGUGCAGUGGAUACGGGCAGGCUGGAGGCAGGCAGGGGAGAACGGAAUUCCCGGUGUAGCGGUGAAAUGCGCAGAUAUCGGGAGGAACACCGGUGGCGAAGGCGGUUCUCUGGGCCUGUACUGACGCUGAGGAGCCGAAAGCGUGGGGAGCGAACAGG